rfam:Bordetella petrii strain DSM 12804, complete genome
GAGAGCCGGAUACGCUGAAAGGUGUAAGUCCGGUUCGGAGGGGGGCUGACGGGUGAUCCUUUACGGGACGCCCGCAGCCUACCCUAC